rnacentral:sRNA from 16 species
GGAAUUUAGCAGCCGAGAUCCGUCACCGACGGAUGCGGGGGACCCACUUAAGGGGCGUAUUCCAGACAAUGGAUAGGGCACUUCCAAGCCCGAGCCCGUCAGCUAACCUCGUAGGCAUUUGGGAGAGCAUGG